CAGUAGCCGCGGGAAUACGAAGGGGCCUAGCGUUGCUCGGAAUCACUGGGCGUAAAGGGUGCGUAGGCGGGUUUCUAAGUCAGGGGUGAAAUCCUGGAGCUCAACUCCAGAACUGCCCUUGAUACUGGAAGUCUUGAGUAUGGGAGAGGUGAGUGGAACCGCGAGUGUAGAGGUGAAAUUCGUAGAUAUUCGCAAGAACACCAGUGGCGAAGGCGGCUUACUGGCUCAUUCUAGACGCUGAGGUGCGAAAGCGUGGGGAGCAAACAGGAUUAGAUACCCCUGUAGUCCCUGUCUCUUAUAC
rnacentral:rRNA from 1 species